rnacentral:lncRNA from 1 species
AUGAGCAAACAGACAAAACCAAAAACAGGACGCGCGCUCUGCUCCUCCACAACCAGAGUGAAAAUAAAGAGGCAUUUACCAUCCUGCCCAGAGCUCUCCAGAUGCUCCGUCAGGUCGCAGCCGAACGCGCUCGCGGCUCCCUUCCUCUUGAGUUUCUGCUUGGCUCCCUUGUUCUUCAUGAGGUGGGGUGUCCAUGGCCCCAGAAGCAGAUGGAGAGCCUGGGGAAGAGCUUUGGCCAUGAGGCUUCCCCUCCUGCGGGCCUGGGGCUGCACCAGAGGUGUCACGCGGGCUAUUUCUGGGCUCCCACCUCUCCCUUCCCUGCUGUGUUUCCGUCGUUGUGUGGAGCUCUUCCCUGCCCAUGGCUUUGAAAUCUCCACCGACCUGCCAGGCGCCACUCGGCACAAAGGAUCGGCUGGGGGCGGGGAGGAAUGGAAGAACUGUGGGGGGGUGGGUUCCCCUAAAAAUAGCCCUGCCGAGUAGGACUGUUUUCCUGACACAGAUGGGUCAUUGUUAGACCCUGACACGCCAGUUCAACCUCCCUCCCCGCCCCUCCACAUACUCUCUUUCCUCCCCUGCCCCUCUCCGUCCCUGUUUCCUGCCUACUCCCAUCGUAUUGUGAAGCCUAAAGCCUGGUGUGGAGGCUUUUGUUUCUCUGAGUACCCAUCAGACCACAAAUUUGGGCCCCCUCUUGGCACAGGGCACCCACCACUCCCAGUUCCAAACACCCCCUCCCCCCAGUCACAAGUCCUGUUUUCCCCAGUUCUCACCUCCCUUCCCACCUCCCAAGGGACCCUCUUGCUCCACAAAGUGACAGACCUCCUUUCCUGUGUCCAUCUGCCCAAUGCAAUGGGUCUCCCAGCACUUUGUUGGCUACUUGGAAGGUGCUAGCACUUCAGCUACAAAUGAAGGAGGCACCUCACACUCACCUGCUACCGAUCCCCUGAAUUAGCCUAAUACCUCAACAUUCAGUUACUGACUAUACAUACCACAGCUACCAAACAUACAACUACAUCUUUAGCCAGACUGCCUUCUCCCAGUGUUCGCAGUCAUGUCAGAGGUGUCUUGUGUACAGAAAAACAGGUGAAGAAUGUAUCUCCCUUCCCUUGCUCAGACCACAAACUUGUCUGAAUAGUGAUGGUUGUUUAAUUCUGUGUUUGUACAACAUCUAGCACAGAGGAACUCUAAUUCUUGACAGGGGAUUCUAAUUAUUCUUUGUUUAAACAAUAUAAAAACCAUUCUAUGAACACUUUAUGUUUCCCAGUGUAAAACUCCAUUGAUAGUGCAAUAAUAUGCAAUAGUAUUAUAAAGCAAACAUUCAGAGAAAACCUCUUCCAGACCAGCCAUACAGCUAGCAAAGGCUUCCUUCAUCUCAGAGGCAUGCUCUGAACCCUCUCCAUACAUCUAACCAAUGAGAUGACCCAUUUGGUGAGGCAGGAAGGCCACAAACCUCACACCAUGGAGCCAUUCCAAAUUCACACAG